AUACGACCAUAGGACACUGAAAAUAGAGCUUCCCGUUCGCUCAGCUGUACUCAAGCAGUGUACCGGCGGAUUAGUAGUUAGGUGGGUGACCACUAG
rnacentral:rRNA from 1 species